rnacentral:lncRNA from 1 species
UUCGGUUUCAAUAACCUAAUCAAAUAGAGUAAAACAUUUUACAUCAACUCUACUUGUGCUACUUCACCAUUCGAAGAACUCUAAAGGAAAGAAGGGAGAAUCCGACUUACGAUCAGGCCUGCAAGUAAAAAAUCCCUAACCCUAUUACAUUGUUGGGUGAAUAACAGAAAUCUAAGUGCUAGGGACAAAAGUGAAGUGAGAAAAUUGAAGGGAAAAUAGAAAAUUGAGAGAGGAGAAAAAAAAUGGGUUUUGGAAAUUCUUACCAGAGCCUGGAGGGGAGAAAGGAAUCGUAAAGAGAGAAGACGAGCGAGGGUUGCCGGGUGGGAAUCCAAAGCGGGGCGAUGGAAAAUGUGUUGGGAAAGUAAGGGUGGGGGAGGAGGAAAAAGACAGCAAAAGAGAGAAGCGGUAGUGGUGGACACUGCUCUGUAAGUCGGCAUCUUUUCA